UACGUAGGUGGCAAGCGUUGUCCGGAUUUACUGGGCGUAAAGAGCGCGCAGGCGGUCGUUCAAGUCGCGUGUGAAAGCCCCCGGCUCAACUGGGGAGGGUCACGCGAUACUGAUCGACUCGAAGGCAGGAGAGGGUAGAGGAAUUCCCGGUGUAGUGGUGAAAUGCGUAGAUAUCGGGAGGAACACCAGUGGCGAAGGCGACUACCUGGCCUGUUCUUGACGCUGAGGCGACGAAGCUAGGGAGCAAGCGGG
rnacentral:rRNA from 1 species